UACGUAGGGGGCAAGCGUUGUCCGGAAUCAUUGGGCGUAAAGAGCGUGUAGGCGGCCAGAAAAGUCCGCUGUGAAAACUCGAGGCUCAACUUCGAGCUGUCGGUGGAAACUUUCUGGCUAGAGUCCGGAAGAGGAGAAUGGAAUUCCUGGUGUAGCAGUGAAAUGCGCAGAUAUCAGGAAGAACACCCGUGGCGAAGGCGGUUCUCUGGGACGGUACUGACGCUGAGACGCGAAAGCGUGGGGAGCGAACAGG
rnacentral:rRNA from 1 species